UACGGGGGGAGCAAGCGUUGUUCGGAUUUACUGGGCGUAAAGGGCGCGUAGGCGGCACUGCAAGUCAGUUGUGAAAUCUCCGGGCUUAACCCGGAAAGGUCAACUGAUACUGCAGGGCUAGAGUGCAGAAGGGGCAACUGGAAUUCUCGGUGUAGCGGUGAAAUGCGUAGAUAUCGAGAGGAACACCUGCGGCGAAGGCGGGUUGCUGGGCUGACACUGACGCUGAGGCGCGAAAGCUAGGGGAGCGAACGGG
rnacentral:rRNA from 1 species